GGUAGUCUCGCACAGAUGCAUAUCAAUAAGCGGAGGAAAAGAAACUAACAAGGAUUCCCCUAGUAACGGCGAGUGAAGCGGGAAGAGCUCAAAUUUGAAAUCUUAAAGGGUUUCCCUUUACGAAUUGUAGUUUAAAGAAGUGUUUUCUGUUGAGGUUUUGGUAAAAGUUCUUUGGAAUAGGACAUCAUAGAGGGUGAGAAUCCCGUAUUUGACCUUUACUUUCAACUUUGUGAUACACUUUCAAAGAGUCGGAUUGUUUGGGAAUGCAGUCCAAAAUGGGUGGUAAAUUUCAUCUAAAGCUAAAUAUUGGCGAGAGACCGAUAGCGAACAAGUACCGUGAGGGAAAGAUGAAAAGAACUUUGAAAAGAGAGUUAAACAGUACGUGAAAUUGUCAAAAGGGAAGCGUUUGACACCAGUGUUGUUUUUCUGAAAAUCAAUUAAAGAACUGUUUAUGCUAAGUUGUUUAGACUUUAUCAGCUAACUGUUUAGUUUUGAGCUUUUCUUUAAUGCACUUUUCAGUUAACAAGUCAACAUCAAUUUCUUUUGCUGUAAAAAAGCUUGAGGAAGGUGGCUUGAGAUUCGUCUUAAGUGUUUAUAGCCUCUUGCCUAUGCAGUCGGAGAGAUUGAGGUCUGCAGCGUAGAUCCUUCGGGGCUAAAUGCAUUUGUGCUAAGUUAUAGCAUUUUAUAGACAACUUGUUGACUAUGAUUUGUCUUGUAGCUUACUCGCUUAUGUUAUUUUACCUACGCUUAGGAUGUUGAUCUGUAGUGCGUGCGC
rnacentral:rRNA from 1 species